GAUGAACGCUGGCGGCGUGCUUAACACAUGCAAGUCGAGCGGACGGACGCUACUCUUGCUUUUCUGUUGUUAGCGGCGGACGUGAGAGUCACACGUGUAUAACCUACCUGUAAGACGGGUAAAGCUUCGAAAAACGGGAUCUUAUACCGUAUGAUAUUUUGAACCGCGGUGGGCGAAGGUAAAAGACGGUCUUGGUGUCACGUCUAGAUGGAUACGCGCUUCAUUAGGUAGUUGUUAAGGUAAAGGCUUACCAAGGCAACGAGGCAUGGCCGGCCUGCGGGGGGGAUCGUCCACACUGGAAGUGAGACACGGUCCAGACUCCUACGGGAGGCAGCAGUAUGCAACCGUCCGCAACGGGCGAAAGCCUGACGGAGUAAGGCCGCGUGAGUGAUGAAGGUCCUCGGAUCGUAAAACUGUGUUUUUGGGGAAGAACAUAUUUGUAAGGAACCGUGCUCAUCUUGACGGUACCUAAUAAGAAAGCCACGGCUAACUACGUG
rnacentral:rRNA from 1 species